rnacentral:rRNA from 1 species
UACAGAGGGGGCAAGCGUUGUUCGGAAUUACUGGGCGUAAAGGGCGCGUAGGCGGCCUGUUAAGUCGGACGUGAAAUCCCCGGGCUCAACCCGGGAACUGCGUCCGAUUCUGGCAGGCUUGAAUCCGGGAGAGGGAUGUGGAAUUCCAGGUGUAGCGGUGAAAUGCGUAGAUAUCUGGAGGAACACCGGUGGCGAAGGCGGCAUCCUGGACCGGCAUUGACGCUGAGGCGCGAAAGCCAGGGGAGCAAACGGG